rnacentral:rRNA from 1 species
AUUGAACGCUGGCGGCAUGAUUUACACAUGCAAGUCGAACGGUAACAGGCCGCAAGGUGCUGACGAGUGGCGAACGGGUGAGUAAUGCAUCGGAACGUGCCCAGUCGUGGGGGAUAACUACUCGAAAGAGUAGCUAAUACCGCAUACGAUCUAUGGAUGAAAGCGGGGGACCGUAAGGCCUCGCGCGAUUGGAGCGGCCGGUGUCAGAUUAGGUAGUUGGUGGGGUAAAGGCUCACCAAGCCAACGAUCUGUAGCUGGUCUGAGAGGACGACCAGCCACACUGGGACUGAGACACGGCCCAGACUCCUACGGGAGGCAGCAGUGGGGAAUUUUGGACAAUGGGCGCAAGCCUGAUCCAGCAAUGCCGCGUGCAGGAAGAAGGCCUUCGGGUUGUAAACUGCUUUUGUACGGAACGAAACGGCUCUGGUUAAUACCCGGGGCUAAUGACGGUACCGUAAGAAUAAGCACCGGCUAACUACGUG